rnacentral:rRNA from 1 species
AUUGAACGCUGGCGGCAGGCCUAACACAUGCAAGUCGAACGGUAACAGGAAACAGCUUGCUGUUUCGCUGACGAGUGGCGGACGGGUGAGUAAUGUCUGGGAAACUGCCUGAUGGAGGGGGAUAACUACUGGAAACGGUAGCUAAUACCGCAUAACGUCGCAAGACCAAAGAGGGGGACCUUCGGGCCUCUUGCCAUCGGAUGUUCCCAGAUGGGAUUAGCUAGUAGGUGGGGUAACGGCUCACCUAGGCGACGAUCCCUAGCUGGUCUGAGAGGAUGACCAGCCAAACUGGAACUGAGACACGGUCCAGACUCCUACGGGAGGCAGCAGUGGGGAAUAUUGCACAAUGGGCGCAAGCCUGAUGCAGCCAUGCCGCGUGUAUGAAGAAGGCCUUCGGGUUGUAAAGUACUUUCAGCGGGGAGGAAGGGAGUAAAGUUAAUACCUUUACUCAUUGACGUUACCCGCAGAAGAAGCACCGGCUAACUCCGUG